AUACCUUUGUUCUAUCCACCUUCAUCAUUUGCAAGAUUCAUCUGAAGUGCUCAGUGGUACAAGGUUAACUCAGACAUCAAACCAAUGCUGCUAUGUCUGUGUCUGUAUCUGUACCACCGGAAACUCGGCAGUUAUCUGUGGAGGUGCCCUCCACCUACAACUGCUGGUCUGACUUCAAUAUAUGCUGUUGCGUUGCACCACUUGGAAUAAAGGCAAAGAUGUAUUCAAUAGAGACGGAGAGAUGCAUAGCAGAAGGAGAUCUGCUGGGAGCACAAGAAGCUUCUGAAUCAGCAUUCAGUUACAACCUGAAUGCACUGAUUGCUGGAUUGGUCUUCUGGGUUUUCGCUGUGUGUGUGAUUGUAAUAUUGCAAUUGUUCUUUGGCUUGUCCUUGUCCUUGUUCUUGUUCUUGUUCUUGUUCUUUGCUACAGCAAGCCUUAUUGCUAAACGGUUACGGUCAGUUUGUAUUACAUAGGACUCCCAAAGUGUGCUACGAGCUGCCUCUACGAGCUGCCUCUACGAGCUGCCUCUAUGAGCUGCCUCUAGAGGUUAUGCAAGAUGAAAAGAGCUCUGGUGGAAAGGUGUUAAAGGUGAACUUUUUAAAUCUUUUGUAAUUCAUUCAUGAAUAAAUACAUAAUUUUGAAUCAGGUCAUAAUGAUAUGGAAACAUGAAAAUAAAGGAUAUCAUUUGUAAACUCUA